AAUGAACUAUCGUUUUCUCUCUCUCUCUUCUCUCUCAAUUUCAAUUUCAAGCACAAAGAGAAAGCGAUCUGAGUGGAUGAGGUGAGAAGUUGGGAGCUGAUUCGCCAUCAAGCAUCUCGCAACACAAUUUCUGACCAAACGUGAAAUCCGUGUUUUUCAAGGUAUACGCAGCUUUGUUUUCUUCUCUUCUGUUUUUUCGUAUCGCUUUCUAAGGCUUCCAUCGAACCUACUUUUUCUAUAUUUAAUGUUUCUGUAUUCAAUGUUUGUCUUUCUAUGGAUUCUGCAAUAUUCACUUUACCUCUGUUUUACUAACCUUGAAAUCGAACUAGAUCAAAUUCAUAUGCUGUUCAGGAAAUUCUGGAUCUGGUCAAUUACUCUGUAGGUUUAUAUGUGGCUUUGGGAUAAUUUUUACCGGAGUUAACUUCAAGAGAGCUCCUUUUUAUCCAUGAGAGAGAGAAUGUUGGAACAGGAAGGUGGGUUGAGAACCCUAAACCUUGGAAUAUGGGUUAGCUUUUGCAAAUUUGGUGUCGGAUAAUCUUCACUUUGCAGAAAUGGGUUUUCUGCAUAUUGGUGUUGGAAAAUGUUUACCAUUGGUAUUGGUAUUUUCUGCUUCUUCAGCUGACGAACAUUGAGUUUCUAUUGCCCCUGUCUGUUAUUUAUAGAAAUUGUGGAUUUAUGAUUUCAGUGAGUGAAUUCAAAUAUUGGAUAUUGGCUGGUUGAUGUUUGACAUAUGGUUGUUUGUUGCGUGCUAUCUUCCGGUCCCUUAACAAUCAAAAGGAGUAUCUGCUUAACAUGGUUUUAUGGUAUUGAUUGUUAGAUAUUA